rnacentral:rRNA from 1 species
GAUGAACGCUAGCGAUAGGCUUAACACAUGCAAGUCGAGGGGCAGCAUGGUCUUAGCUUGCUAAGACUGAUGGCGACCGGCGCACGGGUGCGUAACGCGUAUGCAACUUGCCUCACAGAGGGGGAUAACCCGUCGAAAGACGGACUAAUACCGCGUACACUUGGGAUAGGGCAUCCUGACCCAAGGAAAUGAAAUUCGCUGUGAGAUAGGCAUGCGUCCCAUUAGCUAGUUGGUGAGGUAACGGCUCACCAAGGCGACGAUGGGUAGGGGAACUGAGAGGUUGAACCCCCACACUGGUACUGAGACACGGACCAGACUCCUACGGGAAGCAGCAGUGAGGAAUAUUGGUCAAUGGGCGAGAGCCUGAACCAGCCAAGUCGCGUGAAGGAUGACUGUCUUAUGGAUUGUAAACUUCUUUUAUACGGGAAUAACAAGAGUCACGUGUGGCUCCCUGCAUGUACCGUAUGAAUAAGCAUCGGCUAACUCCGUG